rnacentral:rRNA from 1 species
GAUGAACGCUGGCGGCGUGCCUAAUACAUGCAAGUCGAGCGAACGGACGAGAAGCUUGCUUCUCUGAUGUUAGCGGCGGACGGGUGAGUAACACGUCGAUAACCUACCUAUAAGACUGGGAUAACUUCGGGAAACCGUAGCUAAUACCGGAUAAUAUUUUGAACCGCAUGGUUCAAAAGUGAAAGACGGUCUUGCUGUCACUUAUAGAUGGAUCCGCGCUGCAUUAGCUAGUUGGUAAGGUAACGGCUUACCAAGGCAACGAUGCAUAGCCGACCUGAGAGGGUGAUCGGCCACACUGGAACUGAGACACGGUCCAGACUCCUACGGGAGGCAGCAGUAGGGAAUCUUCCGCAAUGGGCGAAAGCCUGACGGAGCAACGCCGCGUGAGUGAUGAAGGUCUUCGGAUCGUAAAACUCUGUUAUUAGGGAAGAACAUAUGUGUAAGUAACUGUGCACAUCUUGACGGUACCUAAUCAGAAAGCCACGGCUAACUACGUG